ensembl:lncRNA
AUGAAACAGGCUGAUUGGGCUCAACCAACCAGAAUACAUCAGAAGGGAUGCCUCUGUGGCUGGGGAAGGAAGAUGCUGGAGCUGCCGGGAAGAAGUGAGAGAAUUCUCAGGCACCAGCAGGACCCAGAAAGCCCCUGCCUACUGCAGAGCGUGGGGCCAGGCCUUCAGCCGAUUGAAUGGUGCAGUGAGCCGAAAUCACGCCACUGCACUCCAGCCUGGGCAACAGAGCGAGACUCUGUCUCGGAAAAAAAAAGAAAAGACAAAGAAAGGCAUAUAUUGCUACAGAAGAUACUCUUAAAUCCUACUUUUCUGGAAAUAUUGGUUACUAUAGAAAAUAUAGAACUAAAUUCAUUUUAAAAUUCUCAUUCUGAAAUUAUUACAAAUGUUUUAUGAAUCAUAUUAGCAUAUAGGCAAGUUUUGGAAAGCUAAAAUUACAAACCAGGGGUGCAGAUGAGUCUUCUGUGAAAUUUUUAAUUUUUGCAGAACACCAUGAGAAAUUACACAUUUUCUAUUCUAUAUUUCUUGUAGGAAAUAGAGGCUGCCCCUCUCUCAGUGCCCCACAUGAGAAAGGGAAGUUGUCCUUUUACAUAUCCACAGUCAAACAUCUUGGUAAACAGAAGAAAGCAGGCUGGGCCUGGUGGCUCAUGCCUAUAAUCCCAGCACUUUGGGAGGCCAAGGAGGGCAGAUAGCUUGACUAGCAUGGGCAACAUGGCAAAACCCUGUCUCUACAAAAAAAUUAAAAAAUAAAAAAUAAAUGUAGUCCCAGGUACUCAGGAAGCUGAGGCAAGAGGAUCACUUGAGCCCGGGAGGUAAAGGCUUCAGUGAGCCAUGAUAAUGCCACUGCACUCCAGCCUGGGCAACAGAGUGAGAUCCUGUCUCAAGAAAAAGAAAAACAAGAGGAAGGCCAUCUACUUUGUACCCAAAGAAUUUUACACGCAAAGAGUUUGACUGUGAAUGAGCCUCCAUUGCUUAAGAGAGACUUCACUAUUUGGGAUUUUAAGAAAGAAAGACACAAACAAGCAAACCUCAUCUGCAGAGGACUGAGAAGCCAGUGUUUAUAAUACCCAGUGAUUAAUUUAAUAUUGUCUUGAGUCAUAAUUAAAAGGGACUUAGUUUAAAAGUCAUUUCGAUUGAUAACUGACUCAGAGUCCUCAACAUUUCACCUUUUGCUUUAUGAAAAGAACGAGUAGAUUAAUUUAGAGUUUGACAAGGAGAAGGAAGUCUCCCCUGAUUUUCUGUUUGGCCAAGAAUUUAUCCUAACGUGGUACCAUCAGAGUACAGUCAGAAAGCUGUGAGUCAACUCAGACUUCUCACCAUUGAGUCAAGCUGUGAAGCCUGCCGCCUUGGGGGUAAGGAUUUCCAUACAGAAACACUGUAAGUAAAUAAUUUAGCACUUGUUUCUUAUUCCUUUUUAUUGGGUAACUACACAGAAUUAAAACCUGUUGUUUUGAAUUCACAAAAGAAAUGUUUUAAAACUUUCGAGGAAAAAGCCAGAUUAUCCAUUGCAAAGCAUCGAAAUUCAAAAAUCAUGUUAAGGCUAGAGAAACAGGAUCCUAUCCCCACCUAGUGGCCAACACUGAAAUCUAGACAGAACAGGAAACAAGGGAAUUUGUCAACUAUUUGGGAAUACUCCAGCAUUCUUUACAAAAAAAAGUUAGAGAAAAGGUUAGGCACACAAAAAAACACAUAUCAAAAUAAAUAUGACCAAAUACAUAGGUUUUGGCAGCACAUAGGUUUCUGUGGUUUUGCUCUGCUUUUAGCAGCAGCUGUAAAAAGCAUUGCACACUAAGCAUUGCUAGAUUGCCAAACAAACCUAAUUAUAUUUUUUUGUUUGGUUUUUUGGUUUUUUCAAAACCUCCUACCUCUGUGACAUAAUUAUGUUUUUAAUGAGUUGAAUGUAAAAACAAACAUCAAUGCAUACAAAAUUUCAGUUAGACAGGAGGAAUAAAUUCAAGAUAUGUACUGUACAACAUGGUGACUCUAGCUAAUCACAAUGUACUGUGUACUUGAAUAUUGCUAAGUGAAUAAUUUUAAGGGUUCUCACCAAACACAAAAAAUAUGUAAGGUAAUGCAUAUAUUAAUUAGCUUGAUUUAGCCAUUAAACAAUGUACACAUAUAUAUAGAAAUCAAAACAUCAUAUUGUAUACCAUAGAUUCAAUUUUUGUCAAUUAAAACAAGAAUUAAAUGAAUACAUAUAUUUUUGUUGCAGAGAUGUGUGAGAGAUCGAUCUAUAAAGACUCUAAAAUAUUUGUUAAAAGAUACGAACUGAGGGAAAGCCUUCGACAUCAUUUGGAAGAAAGUGUACAUAGUUAGACCAUCCUAGUAUCUGUAAAGUGGGUGUGAUCAUCAGAGAGUGAUACAUUGAGCAGUGCUGUCCCAUACAACGUUCUGCUGUUAGGGAAAUGUUCUAUAUCCAGCUCUCCAACCGAGCCCCCACUAGCCACAGGUGGCUCUUGAGCACUUAAAAUGCUAGCAGCUGGUGAGACCAAGGGGUUGAAGUUUUCAUUUAAUUUUAAAUUAAGGCAGAAUCACCUAUAAGAGAAAGUGCUAGAGAAUUGGAAAAAUGAAAAAGAAUUUGAGAAGCCAGUGGGAAUGGAGCUAAAGUGUAUGGUCAUGGCUCAUUAGAUUUGGGGAUAUCAGAAUUCCAACAGCACAAUGGGCUCACUAGAAAAUUAAUAAGAUUACAAAACAGGUUAAAUGAAACAUCAAAAAUAGUCCAAUUUUAGCAGAUACAGAAGCUACAAAUUUAGCAAUAGUUUUGGCAAACCCUCAACUCAUGUAAUUUAACAGUGCUAGGAACCAAGCCAAAGGUGAAUGCCUAGACAAAAAGCUUAUAAACGUUAAGAGCACAUUUCUCUUAGAACAUACGGAAACAGGGCACUUCCACACCUUUGAUUCAUUCUCCAAGCUUAAAGAACUUUGCUCUAAAACCAGAUCCUCUCAUACGACAGGACAAACAGCCCCAGUGUUCUUCCCUCCAGAUCUGUUCCAACCUGUGUCUGGAGGCACUCUGCACUCAAGUUAAAACAGUUUAGACAAAGGACAAUGUUCAGGAAUUCCAGAAACUUUGGGAUAUAACAUCAGUGGUGACUUUUAAUUAGGAAAACCCAAUCUAAUAAGAAGGGCUAUUUUGAACACCAGGGUAUGUGGAGAGGAAAGUAUCAAGGUGGAAGGUUAUGAAACAUUAAUGGGAGAUACAGAGAACCAAAAAAGUUUCUAUGGUGAUUUCUCCUGCCCCUGGGCAUGUUAUCUGAACUUACAAUUGCAACUCUGGAAGCUGGAAAAGCUCUUAAGAACCUCUGGAAUGCCACUUCCCCACAAAACAACACAGUAUGAAAUAGUGACAAAUCCCUAGGAGAAUAUGUAAAAUAACAAUCAUGAUAACAUUGUUGGAGAAAUCUGACAUAAUCCCACCAGUAGGACUCUUUAACAACUCAUUUUGACCAGCCAAAAGGUAGGUGAAGCUUGGAAGCGAAUUGUGAAUUACACCAAUAUGAAGAAAAGCAGCUAAUUCUGAAGUAGUAUUAAGUGGCAGUGACUAUUCUAAUCACUUUAAAUAUUUAACUCAAUUAUGAAAAAUAAAAUGUGAUUAGCACUGUACAUAUUAUUUCCUUAGUAGAAGAUCUUGCUAAAUCAACCCUUGGUUAGCAUUCAUGCAUCAAUCUGGCUGAUGUAUCCUUUUCAACCCCAAUAAAUUAUAUUCACCAACAGUCUGCUUUCACUUGGCAGCACCAACCUUUACUAAGUUGCCAGAGUAAAUUCUCCCACCCCUGAGGUACAAUCCAUUGAGCAAAAUUUAAACAGCCUAAAUCCAAUUCAAGAAUUAACAUUGUUUUAUUACCCUAAUGACACAUUAACCAGGAGUGACUUGAAAAAAACUGUGUCCAUGAGGAAACUUCUUGGGGUAAUAAAAAUAUUAUCUUGAUUGUAAUAGUAGUUACAAAAUGAAUAUUUUUUUCAAAACUCAUAAACAACUGUAUAGCUACAGUUUCACCAUAUUUAAAUUAUAUCUCAGUAAACCUGAUUUUAUGUUAUUUUAUUUAUUUAUUUAUUUAUUUAUUUAUUUAUUUAUUUAUUUUUGAGAUGGAGUCUCACUCUGUCACCCAGGCUGGAGUGCAGUGGUGCAAUCUUAGCUCACCGCAACCUCCACCUCCCAGGUUCAAGCGAUUUUCCUACCUCAGCCCCUAGUAGCUGGGAUUACAGGUGUGCACCACCAUGCCCGGCUAAUUUUUGUAUUUUUAGUAGAGACAGGGUUUCACCAUGCUGGCCAGGUUGGUCUCAAACUCCUGAUCUCAGAAGAUCUGCCCACCUCAGUCUCCCAAAGUGCUAGGAUUACAAGUGUGAGCCACUGUGCCUGGCCUGAACCUGAUUUUUUUUUUAAAGCAAUUGCAUCCAAAAACCUCUGUCUUCCAUUAUUAAUUUUAUGAGUUAAAAGGAACAGACUAUAAAAGAGCACAAAUUUCAGUAAAAUUUUGGGGAGAAAAAUUCUGCCCAAGACCAGGCAAAAGCCUUUGUGCUUGAAACCCCCUACUUGAAAAAGAGGAACAGAAAUUAAUUGGCAUGUUUGAAUUCUGAAGACUGCAUAUCCCACGUCUGUAUUAAACUUGGGUCUCUUCAUUGAAUUAUGUGUGUCCUUAAGAGAACAAGAUGCCUCAGAGCUGUGCUGUCUAAUAUGGUAGCGCCAGCUGGCUA